GAGCUUGCUCUCUGGAUCAGUGGCGAACGGGUGAGUAACACGUGAGCAACCUGCCCCGGACUCUGGGAUAAGCGCUGGAAACGGCGUCUAAUACUGGAUAUGAGCUGCAACCGCAUGGUUAGCAGUUGGAAAGAUUUUUCGGUCUGGGAUGGGCUCGCGGCCUAUCAGCUUGUUGGUGAGGUAAUGGCUCACCAAGGCGUCGACGGGUAGCCGGCCUGAGAGGGUGACCGGCCACACUGGGACUGAGACACGGCCCAGACUCCUACGGGAGGCAGCAGUGGGGAAUAUUGCACAAUGGGCGAAAGCCUGAUGCAGCAACGCCGCGUGAGGGACGACGGCCUUCGGGUUGUAAACCUCUUUUAGCAAGGAAGAAGCGAAAGUGACGGUACUUGCAGAAAAAGCGCCGGCUAACUACGUGCCAGCAGCCGCGGUAAUACGUAGGGCGCAAGCGUUAUCCGGAAUUAUUGGGCGUAAAGAGCUCGUAGGCGGUUUGUCGCGUCUGCUGUGAAAUCCCGAGGCUCAACCUCGGGUCUGCAGUGGGUACGGGCAGACUAGAGUGCGGUAGGGGAGAUUGGAAUUCCUGGUGUAGCGGUGGAAUGCGCAGAUAUCAGGAGGAACACCGAUGGCGAAGGCAGAUCUCUGGGCCGUAACUGACGCUGAGGAGCGAAAGGGUGGGGAGCAAACAGGCUUAGAUACCCUGGUAGUCCACCCCGUAAACGUUGGGAACUAGUUGUGGGGUCCAUUCCACGGAUUCCGUGACGCAGCUAACGCAUUAAGUUCCCCGCCUGGGGAGUACGGCCGCAAGGCUAAAACUCAAAGGAAUUGACGGGGACCCGCACAAGCGGCGGAGCAUGCGGAUUAAUUCGAUGCAACGCGAAGAACCUUACCAAGACUUGACAUAUACGAGAACGGGCUAGAAAUAGUCAACUCUUUGGACACUCGUAAACAGGUGGUGCAUGGUUGUCGUCAGCUCGUGUCGUGAGAUGUUGGGUUAAGUCCC
rnacentral:rRNA from 1 species